UACAGAGGGUGCAAGCGUUAAUCGGAAUUACUGGGCGUAAAGGGCGCGUAGGCGGCCUGCUAAGUCGAACGUGAAAUCCCCGGGCUCAACCCGGGAACUGCGUCCGAUACUGGCAGGCUUGAAUCCGGGAGAGGGAUGUGGAAUUCCAGGUGUAGCGGUGAAAUGCGUAGAUAUCUGGAGGAACACCGGGUGGCGAAGGCGGCAUCUGGACUGAAACUGACGCUGAGGCGCGAAAGCCGGGGAGCGA
rnacentral:rRNA from 1 species